ACUCACAUGAACACUAGCCUCAGACAUGUGUUCCCUGCUGUGAGAACCAAAGCCAAUGGAGCAUGAGUGAUCUUUGCUGUCUCUUCCAGGUCAUCAGGACGGACAGAAGACGAGGAGAAUGGUUUCAUAUUGAGCAGAGGUGAGUUGCUCAACAGCUCCUCCCAACGCAGAGUGAUAAUCCGGCUCCAGGAGAAGACAAUAACCAUUCUAGAGUGCUGUCAUUCUAUUUUGUUUUAUUUUAUCAUAUGUUAUUAGGAUAUUUUGUUUUGAUCACUUUUAUACUCUAGCCUCUUUAAAUAUCAAACCCACCCAUGUCGAAUGGGCUAUUCUUUACCAAAAAUCCAGAAUGUCAAACAGAACUCUACAUUUUAAAAAAGGACCCAGGGUGAGCCAAUCCAAAGACAUAUGUGUUAAAAAAUAAAACCAACGAACAAAAAGUAAGAACAAAUUUCAUGUUGCAUCACCUGCCUAUAAUAAACUUUUCAAAGUAAA